rnacentral:rRNA from 1 species
CCUACGGGGGGCUGCAGUGAGGAAUAUUGGUCAAUGGACGAGAGUCUGAACCAGCCAAGUAGCGUGAAGGAUGACUGCCCUAUGGGUUGUAAACUUCUUUUAUAUGGGAAUAAAAUGUUCCACGUGUGGGAUUUUGUAUGUACCAUAUGAAUAAGGAUCGGCUAACUCCGUGCCAGCAGCCGCGGUAAUACGGAGGAUCCGAGCGUUAUCCGGAUUUAUUGGGUUUAAAGGGAGCGUAGGUGGAUUGUUAAGUCAGUUGUGAAAGUUUGCGGCUCAACCGUAAAAUUGCAGUUGAAACUGGCAGGCUUGAGUAUAGUAGAGGUGGGCGGAAUGCGUGGUGUAGCGGUGAAAUGCUUAGAUAUCACGAAGAACGCCGAUUGCGAAGGCAGCUCACUGGACUGCAACUGACACUGAGGCUCGAAAGUGUGGGUAUCAAACAGGAUUAGAUACCCAAGUAGUC